UGUAUCAACCGCCGCGAAUCACAUGUUGCUCAAUUUGAUUUAAUAAUCGAAAUUGGGUGAACCCAAGGCCAUUAAUCCUCAACUUUAUGCGAACCCAAAAGGGGGCAAAGGCGCCAGUCACCAGUUUCAAGACUCCUUGCUACCGUGUACCUUCGGUCCAUCAGCUGCAGCCGCUACAUCCUUCCUUGUCACGGAUCUGCUCAAGCUACCACAUAGCUCCCGUGCGUGAAAGGAAGGUGGAGAGGCACCGUAAGUCCCUCC